UCAAUGACUUUGUUACUUUUGAUGAUUGGAGAGCACUCGCUUCAAUUCGCACACGAAAACUUUAGACUCAGUUUGAAAGCUCACGCAGCAUGCCCACGUGACUGUACGUUGCACGCUCACCUAACUUUAAGUUGCACGCGUACAUGACUUUCCGUUUGUGCCUUGAAUAAUGAAUAAGGCUACGUCCACACGUACCAGCGUAUUUUUGAAACCGCUGAUUUUUCUAUGCGUUUGCACCUUUUGUCCACACGUAAUGUAUGUCUGGCUGUACAUUGUGUUUGUAUUUCCAGGCACAUUUCACGAAGCAGAACGCAGUCUUCAGAGAUAUCCACGUGAACGCUGUGAUACGUCUGACCUUCAGUCCGAAGAAGAAACCCAGACCAGUCUUAAAAGAAAGCACAAACCAAAUCCCCUGUACACAUAUACGGACUCAGAGGAUGAGCAGCCUAAAAAAAAAAUGGUUUCCUCAGGCCCCUCGAGUGAAAAUACCAGCCCUCAUCACUCCGCAGUCUGCCCCCCAGCCCACUGAUAGCAACCAUCAUAAUGCCCCACCCAGCUUCCGGCACCUUUCGCCACUCCGGCACAAACCGACACAGCUUUGCGAUCUCGCCAGCAUGCAGAGUCUGAUGUCUUCCCUAUAGAUGAUUCCAGAGACUCUGUGAGGCCACUAUUACAAGGUGAGACGCUUUGCGUUGAUUGGUGCUGCUGGACCACACUGGAGGUGCGAGUCCGCCGUGUAAUGGUUUAUGCCAUUACAAAGGAGCUGGCCUCUGUACUCAACUGGGCAGGGAAAAAAUACCAAGGACCAGGCAAAGCAAAAAAGGGCAUUUAAAGAGACAGCGCUGUGCAGAUGCAUAUUUGAUGGCCUGGCGCAGCAGGUAGGGGCGAACUCUAUGUCUGAGUUGGUCUUUGCUCAAGCAGUCCAGAAAUGGCUCAGAUAUGCUCCAGAUCGUACGGGUGGCACGCAGGACGCCCAUCAUCCAUCCCCAU